rnacentral:rRNA from 1 species
AUACUUCCAAGAAAAGCUUGCACUGUCAUAAACAAAGAAUGCCUGUACCAUAACCGACACAGGUGGGUAAGUAGAGUAUACUAAGGGGCGCGAGAUAACUCUCUCUAAGGAACUCGGCAAAAUAACUCCAUAACUUCGGGAGAAGGAGUGCCUUAUUCUUAAGGUUGCAAUAACAAGAUCCAAGCAACUGUUUAUCAAAAACACAGGUCUCCGCUAAGUCGUAAGACGAUGUAUGGGGGCUGACGCCUGCCCAGUGCCAGAAGGUUAAAGAAGUCGGUUAGCAAUUGCGAAGCUGGUAACUGAAGCCCUGGUGAACGGCGGCCGUAACAAUAACGGUCCUAAGGUAGCGAAAUUCCUUGUCGGGUAAGUUCCGACCCGCACGAAAGGCGUAAUGAUUUGGAUGCUGUCUCGGAGAGAGGCUCGGUGAAAUAGACUUGUCUGUGAAGAUGCGGACUACCUGCACCAGGACAGAAAGACCCUAUGAAGCUUUACUGUAACUUGAAAUUGAAAUUGGACUUUACUCGCGCAGUAUAGGUGGGAGGCGUUGAUUAUAAUCUCGUGGGAUUAUUGGAGCCAUCAGUGAGAUACCACUCUUGUAAUGUUAGAUUUCUAACUUUGAAUCAUUAUCUGGUCAAAGGACAGUUUCAGGCGGGCAGUUUGACUGGGGCGGUCGCCUCCUAAACGGUAACGGAGGCGUACAAAGGUUUCCUCUGAACGGUUAGAAAUCGUAUCUAGAGUGUAAAGGCAUAAGGAAGCUUGACUGUGAGACCUACAAGUCGAGCAGGGACGAAAGUCGGUCUUAGUGAUCUGACGGUACUGAGUGGAAAGGCCGUCACUCAACGGAUAAAAGUUACUCUAAGGAUAACAGGCUGAUCUCCCCCAAGAGUUCACAUCGACGGGGAGGUUUGGCACCUUGAUGUUGGCUCAUCGCAUCCUGGGGCGGUAGUACGUCCCAAGGGUUGGGCUGUUCGCCCAUGAAAGCGGUACGCGAGCUGGGUUCAGAACGUCGUGAGACAGUUCGGUCCAUAUCCGGUGUAGGCGCUAGAAUAUUGAGAGGAGCCUUCUUUAGUACGAGAGGACCGAGAAGGACAUACCUCUGGUGUACCAGUUAUCGUGCCAACGGUAAACGCUGGGUAGCUAUGUAUGGAGUGGAUAACCGCUGAAAGCAUCUAAGUGGGAAGCCCACCUCAAGAUAAGUAUUCUCAUC